rnacentral:rRNA from 1 species
GAUGAACGCUAGCUACAGGCUUAACACAUGCAAGUCGAGGGGCAGCAUUAGGUAGCAAUACUGAGAUGGCGACCGGCGCACGGGUGCGUAACGCGUAUCCAACCUUCCCGUUACUCAUGGAUAGCCUUCCGAAAGGGAGAUUAAUACAUGAUGGUGUUGAAAUUCCGCAUGUUAUUUCAACUAAAGAUUCAUCGGUAACGGAUGGGGAUGCGUGACAUUAGGUAGAUGGCGGGGUAACGGCCCACCAUGCCUACGAUGUCUAGGGGUUCUGAGAGGAAGGUCCCCCACACUGGAACUGAGACACGGUCCAGACUCCUACGGGAGGCAGCAGUGAGGAAUAUUGGUCAAUGGCCGGAAGGCUGAACCAGCCAAGUAGCGUGAAGGAUGAAGGUUCUAUGGAUUGUAAACUUCUUUUAUACGGGAAUAAAACCACUACGUGUAGGUGCUUGUAUGUACCGUAUGAAUAAGCAUCGGCUAACUCCGUGCCAGCAGCCGACGG